rnacentral:rRNA from 1 species
CCCUUAGAUGUUCUGGGCCGCACGCGCGCUACACUGAUGCAUUCAACGAGUUUUACCUUGGCCGAGAGGCCUGGGCAAUCUUUUAAACCUGCAUCGUGAUAGGGAUAGAUUAUUGCAAUUAUUAAUCUUGAACGAGGAAUUCCUAGUAAACGCAGAUCAUCAAUCUGCAUUGAUUACGUCCCUGCCCUUUGUACACACCGCCCGUCGCACCUACCGAUUGAAUGGUCCGGUGAAGCCUCGGGAUUGUGGCCAGUUCACUUUAUUGGGAGUUGGCUGCGAGAACUUGUCUAAACCUUAUCAUUUAGAGGAAGGUGAAGUCGUAACA